AUGGAAUUAGUGGGCUUACAAAAACAUAUUCCAGGUCUAGAGAACAGAGUAAAUGGGGGAAACAAUUAUUUGCUUAGAUGGCUGAAAAGGUGGAGUUUGGGAAAUAGUGUCAUGGCAUACUUGUGGUUUUUUUUUUUUUUUUUUGAGAUGGAGUCUAGCUCUGUCACCAGGCUGGAGUGCAUUGGCGCGAUCUCAGUUCACUGCAACCUCCACCUCCCAGGUUCAAGCAAUUCUCCUGCCUCAGCCUCCCAAGUAGCUGGGACUACAGGUGUACACUACCACACCCAGGAUGACACAGCAAGAAGACCAUUACCUUAUGCUUAUCCUCGCCCCUUGAUCUUGGCCUCCAGAAAUGGCAUCUUCAAAUUAUUUGGGAUCAGCUGUUUCACUGGAAUUCAGGAUCUGAAAAAUAUCUUAAGCAAUUCUUUUUUUCCCCCCAGAGAGCCCCUUUACUUUUGACUCCACAUUAUAUUACAUAAUAAUCAGAUAUUACAUUACCUGGUUUUUCAGUUUUCUGAUAAUGAGAUCACUCUCCUUAAGUGAUGAAGGGUUUCAAAACUCUGAAUGGAGAUAAAGCCUAUCCCUGCUUUCUCCACCACCAAACACCCAUUCUUUCUUAGGCAGAUCAGGUAAAAAUAUGUUUGUCGAUCAAGCACCAUAAACACAACACAGUCAUCACCACUUCCCUUCCUUGAGAAACAGCUUCCCUGUGACACCUAAGAGGACUGUCAUCCAUGGGUGUCAAGCUGCAACUUCUCACCUGAGGCAUAGAUGGAGAGCCUGUCACAAAGUUUCAAGGAUGCAAAACAUGACAAUUGUCUGAUGAUAAUUCAGAAUAAAGCUUAAAAACUUCCUAUGAUCUUAAGCA
rnacentral:lncRNA from 13 species